GACAGACUUCAACAAAUUUCAGGGCAUCAUUUCAUUUGUGAAUAUUAAAGGAGUGCACUGGAAGUUACUGUAUGUAUUGCCUGCCAUAAGUGCAGUUUUUUUCCUGGAUCCUGAGAAAAAUGAGUCAGAGCAAGCCGAGUCGGAGAAAGCUGCAAAAAGAAUUCAGGAAUAUCUGAGGAUGCGCAUGAUCCUCCAUGGAAAAAAUGACUGGGGAAAGAUCCGAUGGAGAGGACUGAUCAUGGAUCAUCCACUGCAGUCUGAUAACUGCAGUUGUGGCGUCAUUGUCACCAUGAUGGCAAAGGCAGUGAUGGAGGCAUAUCCUGCACUUCCAGCCAUGUCCUUUCCAACUGCAAAGAGGGACAUGGCUUUGGAAAGGACCAACUUUGCACUGGCAGUACUGAAGGAUUCAGGUUUC